UUUUAACGUUUAAAAUUUUUACCACCCCACUGUGGACUCAAUAGUAGGGCGAUGGAGAAGACAGUGCCUGAGAGA